AUCAGCUGGGUAAUCUUGUUAAAAUGCAGAUUCUGACUCAGGGGUCUAGACGGGGCCUGAGAUUCUUCCUUUAUAACAAGCUCCCAGGUGAUGCCAA
rnacentral:pre_miRNA from 1 species